rnacentral:rRNA from 1 species
GACGAACGCUGGCGGCGUGCUUAACACAUGCAAGUCGAACGGAAAGGCCCUGCUUUUGUGGGGUGCUCGAGUGGCGAACGGGUGAGUAACACGUGAGUAACCUGCCCUUGACUUUGGGAUAACUUCAGGAAACUGGGGCUAAUACCGGAUAGGAGCUCCUGCUGCAUGGUGGGGGUUGGAAAGUUUCGGCGGUUGGGGAUGGACUCGCGGCUUAUCAGCUUGUUGGUGGGGUAGUGGCUUACCAAGGCUUUGACGGGUAGCCGGCCUGAGAGGGUGACCGGCCACAUUGGGACUGAGAUACGGCCCAGACUCCUACGGGAGGCAGCAGUGGGGAAUAUUGCACAAUGGGCGGAAGCCGGAUGCAGCAACGCCGCGUGCGGGAUGACGGCCUUCGGGUUGUAAACCGCUGUCGCCUGUGACGAAGCGGGAGUGACGGUAAUGGGUAAAGAAGCACCGGCUAACUACGUG